GAUGAACGCUAGCUACAGGCUUAACACAUGCAAGUCGAGGGGUAACGAGAGGAAAGCUUGCUUUCCUUGUCGACGACCGGCGCACGGGUGAGUAACGCGUAUCCAACCUGCCCCCAACUAGGGAAUAACCUUGCGAAAGUAAGACUAAUACCCUAUAAUUUCCUCAGAUGUCAUCUGACGAGGAAUAAAGAUUUAUCGGUUGUGGAUGGGGAUGCGUCUGAUUAGCUUGUUGGCGGGGUAACGGCCCACCAAGGCAACGAUCAGUAGGGGUUCUGAGAGGAAGGUCCCCCACAUUGGAACUGGGACACGGUCCAAACUCCUACGGGAGGCAGCAGUGAGGAAUAUUGGUCAAGGGGCGGAAGCUUGAACCAGCCAAGUAGCGUGCAGGAUGACGGCCCUAUGGGUUGUAAACUGCUUUUAUACAGGAAUAAAGUUAGCCACGUGUGGUUAUUUGUAGGUACUGUAUGAAUAAGGACCGGCUAAUUCCGUGCCAGCCGCCGCCGUAA
rnacentral:rRNA from 1 species